CUCCCCACCGCGGGAGUCGCGGUGCUCCGGGCCGGAGCCAGGUUGGAGGGACCCCUCCCAGGCUCUGUGGAGAAACCGUGCCGGAGCGGCCCCUAAGCCGGGCGGGCGAGCGAGUAGCGGAACGAGCGAGCGAGCCGGACGCCGGCGUUGAGUGCGCUUCCCCGCACGCUCCCAGGCCGCCCCGGGUCCUGGGCUCUCAGAAGGAGGAUCAGCACCCGGGGCCGAAGAGCGGGGGCGGACGGAGGCGUUGCUGUAGCUCAAGCUCGUCGCGGCGUCUGGAGCCUUAGGUUAGCUCCUGGGGUCGGGGACUGAGGCUUGGGCGCUGCCUGCCGGAGUGGAGAUCCGGUUUGCCUCCCGCCCCCGCUCAGGACCCUGACGCGGGUGAGGCAGCCCCGGGAGCAUGAGCGGGCAGCGUGUGGACGUCAAGGUGGUGAUGCUGGGCAAGGAGUACGUGGGCAAAACGAGCCUGGUGGAGCGAUACGUGCACGAUCGCUUCCUGGUGGGGCCCUAUCAGAACACCAUUGGGGCCGCCUUCGUGGCCAAGGUGAUGUCCGUCGGAGACCGGACGGUGACUUUGGGUAUUUGGGACACAGCAGGCUCUGAGCGCUAUGAGGCCAUGAGCCGAAUCUACUAUCGGGGCGCCAAGGCUGCCAUCGUCUGCUAUGACCUGACAGACAGCAGCAGCUUUGAACGGGCAAAGUUCUGGGUGAAGGAACUGCGCAACCUAGAGGAGGGCUGUAAGAUCUACUUGUGUGGCACCAAGAGUGACCUGCUGGAGGAGGACAGGCGGCGCCGACGUGUGGACUUCCACGACGUCCAGGACUAUGCCGACAAUAUCAAAGCUCAGCUCUUUGAAACUUCCAGCAAGACAGGCCAGAGUGUGGAUGAGCUCUUCCAGAAAGUAGCAGAGGAUUACGUCAGUGUGGCCGCCUUCCAGGUGAUGACAGAGGACAAGGGCGUGGACCUGGGCCAGAAGGCAAACCCCUACUUCUACAGCUGUUGUCAUCACUGAGUCACCACUCACCUGGCCUGGGGGAAUUAAAGGAAUUCCCCCAGAGAGGCUGGACCUAGCUUUUGUCUGGGCUUGGGUGAUCACACGUCUGAGCUACCCCGGGUCCCCGUGGCAGCAGAGGUGGCACCUGCCUGUGCUGGCCCAUGGAACGGAGGCAGCAUUUGGGCUGACUGAUGGGCACAAGGAGGGGGAAGCUGCCAGGACCAGACUUCCUUCCUGCCACUGUUCUCACAAGGCAACCUGGGAGUCCAGCUCCUGUGAGUAGACGCUGCCAAGCCUGGAAAAGGAUCGCUGAUGCACUUCAUGCCCUGACUGUAGUGUGGGGUGGAGGAUGUAAAGAAUAAAAUAAUUAUUUUCAUCAAUGCUAAAGAUGUAGAUUUGGUAGUUGUUCAGAAGAGGAUCAACACGGUGAUUUAAAUCACUUCAAACUCAGUAACUUCAGGGGGAAGCAGACAUUUAAAAACUUGGAUGUUUUUGUAGCAAUGACAACUAUUUUGCUAUUAGAAUGGGUUUGCUCCAGUAGAGAAGCAAAUGAGGCUUUGAAUUCAAAUUUCAACACUUUCCAUAAUUUUUUCUGACUUAACAGGGCUAGGACAGGUGUUAGUUCUCUAACUACCUAUGGAAGCUAUGGCUUCCCCCUCAGAAAGGCUUCCUGGGGAACUGGCUUAGAGGCAGACGCUCUAUUGAGAUCCUGAUUUACAAGCACUUGGCCAAAUGCCAAAAUACCAUCCUACACAAAGAUCAGGAGUUUCUAAGAGUAAAGAUUUCCUUUUAACUGCCAAGUCACACCCCCUGGAGAAAAGGUCUCAGUAUAGGUUCCAGGAGAAUCCCCAAAGGAUGGCAAGGUCACCUACCCCAAUGGGUCAUGCAAGAGUCUCACUUCCCAAAAGUCCUUCCGACUCUGCUUCUAAUUGUAUAGUGACUGCUUUCAUGAUGUUAACAAUCUAGUAUCAAAUGCUAUCAGUGGGCCUGAGAGUUGAACAUCUAAUUUCCAAUCAACCUAAGAGAGUCUUAAAAUGGCCCUCAUGAAAGCCCGGCUGGCUGUUCAUCCAUUUAAUAAAUAAACAGCUUCAGAAGCUGUUUCCUACGCAGGUCUGGAAGGAAGCUUUCCAGUGAAUAGGGAGAAUGGAAAAAACUGAAACAAAACCACAAAGUGGCCCACCUUUCCCUCACUCCUUCCUGUCCUGUGAGACAUAUCUAGAGUGGCUGUCAAGUCAAUUACCUACCAAAGCCUACAUCAGAGAAGCUCCUUCAGGAUCUAACUUCUCCACUUAAAAAUUUUACAUAGCCUGCACAUCCCCCCCCCCCCAACAAAAUUCACAGUUUAUUUCAUGAAACAAAGAGCUACGGUAAUUUAACACACAACACAGUGGAAAGAGAUUCUGACAGCGCAGUGCGGAUAUCUUUUUCUGAUCACAACUACAGAUGACAGGAGAAAAAGAGGGCACAGGACUGGCACCAAGCAAAUCCUACUCAUACAACCUAAGAGAUUAGGGAAAGGGACCUACUAGCUGCAGUUAUAUACUUAUUAUUCUCACACAUGAUAAAUACUUAAUAUAAUGAACUUUAAUGUUCUGGGUGGAUUUCUUUAAAAAUAUCUUUUCCAUGGUUUAAAAUUUUUUUAAAAGAAAAUAAGAUGCUUUGUUUUCUCUUCCUCUAAAACAAAGAGCUUUUCCUCUCUGAUGAUGUGGGAAGAGAGACAGGAUGACAGGAGAACUAGGCAGGUGGAAUUUACAGAGGAGAGUCCGAGGUCUAAGUGAGAUGCAAGAAUAGGCCCCUAAUCUCAGGGCAGCCCUGCCCAGCCUCAUGCCUCUGCCUGAGUUCAAAUGUCUCAACCCCAGAGACAGACUUUGGGAAAUAAAAGCAAAUUCUUUUUUAAAUCUUUAUAUAAAGCGCAAAUGCUUCUAUAACAACAGUUGUUCCCUCCUUAGAAGUAUGGGAGUAACCUCAAUAGAAACUCAGGAGGAGGAAAUUGGGACAAAAUACAGAAUCCUGUUGAGGGUGUAAAAGCCAUAACUGAGACAGAAAUGGCCAGGAGACCUUGGGGCCAGGAGAUGGCCUGUUGGCUAAAGCUGCUGGCUAAGUUGGCAAAGCAGAGAGGUAAACAUGUUUGGUCUAGGGACAAAGAGGGGGUAGGUGAAUGAGAAGGAACUGGCCAAACAGCACUUCCUGUUGGCAGUCAGUGAGCUGGGUGAAUGGUAGGGCAGGGUAGCACCAACAGAUUUCCCAGCCCUUGGGCCCCAGCUCAGGGCAGCAGUAACAGAUAAUCAGCAGUUAUGAGGAGUCAUCUCUUGGACUGGACAUUGCUCUAAACGCCACAUCUUGCCAGUCAUGGGGAAGGGUUCUGGCUUGCCUUUGAGCUAAGUCAGCAGGCAGGUGCUCUCAAUACAGAGCACAGCAUUUCUCAGGGAGAGGGUGGUAGAAUCCACUAGUGAAGAAGACUCCCUCCAUUCAGGUAGGAGGGCAAAGGAUCAGGAGAGAAGUAAUUUCUUGCCAGGAUCUGGCACUCUCCCUGAGCUGGUGGUGGAUCUAGCCCAGAGCUUGCCAGAGAUUCCCUAGGUCUACUGCCCGAGACUCUGAAAUCUGAAAGCACCUGAGUGUUUGGGGGACAGGCAUGGGGUGGGUUGAUGUAAAAGGAGGAAAAUCUGUAGAAAAGAAAGGUAAGCUUGCCAAUUGCUUUCUUACACUGAGGGAAAGCUGUGUCCUCACAGAGCCCAGCCCCCCAACCAACUGCUCCACCAAGGACAGAUCUUUAGACUCUCCAGAGCCCAGACAGCAGCAGCAGAGGCUGCCCAGCCAACAGGCUCUACCUGCCUAUAGAGGAGACCUCCGCAUGAGUGUGCACACAUGCACAUACACACAGGCACACCUGACCAGGAGACACUCAAAACAACCACUUCCGGGGCCACAAAGGACAUGACAAAAUGAGCCCGGAGUCCCAGGGCCCCUCAAACAUCCUGUUAUUUCCUGGUCAAAGGUUCUUUAAAAAUAACCUGGGAACCCAGGCAAGCAUGUUAGGCUCACAGGGAUCAGGUCUUACUUAUCUCUGUAUCUCCUGCCAGUGACUAGCACCAGGCCUAGCACACAUGAAU